rfam:Candidatus Rokubacteria bacterium 13_1_40CM_4_69_5 13_1_40cm_4_scaffold_1554, whole genome shotgun sequence.
GAGCCGUUAGCUCAGUCGGUAGAGCACCUGACUUUUAAUCAGGGGGUCCAGGGUUCGAAUCCCUGACGGCUCA